rnacentral:lncRNA from 1 species
CUCUCUCUCAUGUCCCUUAUUUAGCAUAACAAAGUAGAUGGGAAAAUACUCUUGACUCUGGGCUACCCAAUAGCUCUGGGAUUAAACCCAGCAUUUCCCACUACUACCAGCUAACCCUUGGGUUUGUCUAUUGUUUGACCCCAUUCUGUAGCCAAUCAGAGCCUCUCUGUGGGAUGAAAACUGAUAUAGCAGAUCAUAUACACGUAGCCCAAAGUAAGACCCAGAGACUACAGAAACUACACCAAAAAUGUCACAUAGUCCUGACACUUAAUGGGAAAUGAUGCCAAGUAUGGGCACUGUGCCAGAAAAGGGAAUUUCAAAGUGCACAGAUGCUUGAGUGCUCUGGUCCACUAGCUGGAGACUUGGGAGAGAAGUCUGCAGCCAUAGGGCAUGAAUUUGCAGUAUUUUACUGUAGGUUUUCUCUUCUCCUUUGAAGUUUCUAUUUUACAAUAUUUUGAGAGUUUUAAAAAUAAUCCUAUCACAUCUGGCCCAGACCCAGAUAAUGUAUUCUAUCAUUUCCAUUGAGCUGUAAGAGACUUUGCCCUUACUAUUUUAAUAUCCUGGAUUUAAUUAAAACUCCCGUUGGUUCGUCACAAAUGAAAACUUGUUUUUGAUAGUUUUAUAAAACUGAUACUGAUGUCAUUAAAAAAAUUUGUUUUUACACCAGCAACUUUUUGUUUUUACAUUCUUGGUGUAAUGUAUCCCUCCAUCUUGUCUUUUUGUUUAGAGCAGGUCCAUUUGAACCAAGCAGACAGACCUAUUAAUGGGCAGCAAUGACCUUACCUUUAAGGAAUCCAGAGGCUUGAGGGGGCACUCACACUGAGGAAGUGUGAUGUACUGUAGUGUCUUUUUCUAGAGAUGAGUAGUGGAAGUCUUGCUGGGUUGGCAUUUAAAGCAGAAAAUGAAAUGCCUGCAUUGCUAGUGAUGCAGCCCAGAGCAAGGGUUUCACUUCUGCAAAGCAGUGACCUCGCAAGAGACAUUGUGUCUGUCGAGCUAUGCUGGACCUCCCUGGCUCAUUCUGAUAGAGGAUAUACAAACAAACACAAGGAAAUUGAGCUUACAAAGAGCCAUUCUUCUGAGUCGCUGUCUGUCUGUCUGUCUGUCUGUCUGUCUGUCUACCUACCUUCCUGUCUCCCCGCCUCACCGGUUUCCUACCCCUGUCCAACAAGACCAAAUUUUUUAAAGAAAUAACUUUUGAAAACUGAAAUUUUUAUGUAUUUUUGUUAUCUCAUCAAUGUUCACCGCAUCACUUUCUGAGGAGAAGAUGUUUUUAGUAGUUUCAGUUGCUCAGUGCUUUUAUCUAAAUGCAGUGUUUUCAGACUGUGUAUUAACCACAGCCACAUGUUUGAUUGCGCCUCCCUAGUCACUGGUGUCUGCCUAUCUUUGGUAAAUUCAUUACCAUCUCCAAAUUGCCUAAAGUCCUAGUAAAUAAUAGCUCAGGGGAUUUCUAUUCAUCACUACUAGAAGGGCGCUGUGGUAUGCUUUGGUACUUUGGGCAGUGAGCAGCUGCGGGACUUGUCAUUGCUCUAGAACAAGAACACCGGAUGGAUCUGCCACACUAGUCGUGUUUCACACUGUGGAGCAGUUUGGCUUGUGCAUCCGUGGCGCUUGUUGAGGAACUCAUCCCUUUGUGGUGUCGUAACAUGACGGUAGAGUGCCUUUUUAUAUUUGUAUAUCCUGGAAACGUUCUGUGAAACAUUUUGUAUUUUUUCAUUUGAGUGUUAUCGGAGCAAUAUAAUCCUAGUGGGCUUUUCUUUCUUUGACUGUACCAAGUGUCGCCUUUCCUCUUCCUCCCCUUCUCUGCUGUGAAAUGAAAAUGCUCAAGUUUUCUAUAGGAAUUAUGUUUGACUUUGCAGUACUGAAAUGCUUUCUUCUUACCGAACUGUAAACCAUAGGUCAGUAUUAUAGGAGGACAGCGUUUUAAGAUAGUGACAAUCUGAGCGUGUUUGUAAGAUGUAAUUCUGUGUGUUUCCUACCCGGUGAUCUGAAGACUCGAGGCGAGGAUCUUUUGUUUAGCAGUUUUGUCUCCAGACCACGCUUCAGCAUGUGCAAUAUAUCCUUGCAAAGCACGGUGAUACACAUCUUAUGCCAGUGUUACAUUUUGUAAAACGUGUUUGUAACAGCAUAAACUAUUAUGUGAUGAUUUCAGUGGGAUUUUUUCGUCUGUAAUUUUAAGAUGUAGAUUGGAGUUGAGUGACUUUGGUAAACGUCCUGAGUGUAAAAAAUGAGGAAAAAUGGCAUUGGGUUCAGUGAAGGACUUUGGACCAGUGUGAAUCUUCCCAAGCACAGGUUAAUACUUUCCCAACUACUGAGUGCUCUAAUAUGCAAUGAAGUACUUACCUGUAACAUACGAUGGACAUGCAUUCAGAUGGUUAUUUUUACAAAUAAAAACGGUACAAAUAUUGUUGCAA